UUAAAUUGAAGAGUUUGAUCAUGGCUCAGAUUGAACGCUGGCGGCAGGCCUAACACAUGCAAGUCGAACGGUAACAGGAAGCAGCUUGCUGCUUCGCUGACGAGUGGCGGACGGGUGAGUAAUGUCUGGGAAACUGCCUGAUGGAGGGGGAUAACUACUGGAAACGGUAGCUAAUACCGCAUAACGUCGCAAGACCAAAGAGGGGGACCUUCGGGCCUCUUGCCAUCGGAUGUGCCCAGAUGGGAUUAGCUAGUAGGUGGGGUAACGGCUCACCUAGGCGACGAUCCCUAGCUGGUCUGAGAGGAUGACCAGCCACACUGGAACUGAGACACGGUCCAGACUCCUACGGGAGGCAGCAGUGGGGAAUAUUGCACAAUGGGCGCAAGCCUGAUGCAGCCAUGCCGCGUGUAUGAAGAAGGC
rnacentral:rRNA from 1 species